ensembl:lncRNA
GACAAGUCCGCAUUCCUGGACACAGUGAGGACUGAUGAUGUCAUAGUGGUCACCCAGCAAGGUGCCGUAGUAAUUGCCCAAUGAGAAGCAUGACCGCUCGAGAGGAAGGGAAGCCACGCGUCACGCGAAAACACACGGACUGCUGAGUCAACCGCUUCUGUGCAGAGUUCAACGGGUACUCGACUUGCUAAGAUCCAAGGGAUUGGACGUACAGUGGGCAGGGCCUCGCUCCGCGACCAACCAAUCGCCGAUCUGAACGCCCUGCAGGCGUGUACCUGUUGCCGUUGGUAACGGCGAAGGUACCCGCCCCCUGGACGUUCGAAUCCUGUGAUCAUCCUGUCUAAUGCGUGACAUCACUUUCCCAAACUCUCGCCCUUGGAAGUUUGUCCAUAUAUGGUAGAGCGCUCACUAUGUGCCGGGGCUAUCCUGUGUCUGCAUCUUUCCCUUCUCUGCCCUGGUGUGUGUGUGUGUGUGUGUGUGUG